rnacentral:rRNA from 1 species
ACAAACGCUGGCGGGGUGCGUGAGACAUGCAAGUCGAACGAGGAGCCUCCGAGCUUGCUUGGAGGUUUCCUAGUGGCGGACGGCUGAGUAACGCGUAGGUGACCUACCCGGAAGUGGGGAAUAACUGCCCGAAAGGGUGGCUAAUACCGCAUGUGAUCGGUGAUUCGAUUCACCGCUUAAAGGAGUAAUCCGCUUCCGGCGGGGCCUGCGUUCGAUUAGCUAGUUGGUGGGGUAACGGCUCACCAAGGCGACGAUCGAUAGCUGGUCUGAGAGGAUGAUCAGCCAGACUGGGACUGAGAACGGCCCAGACUCCUACGGGAGGCAGCAGUCGGGAAUUUUGCCCAAUGGACGAAAGUCUGAGGCAGCAACUCCGCGUGAGGGACGAAGGCUCUAGGGUCGUAAACCUCUUUUCUCAGGGAAGAUCCAAGACGGUACCUGAGGAAUAAGCCACGGCUAACUACGU